ACAGUGAUGGGGCAGACGUUUUGAUCAAGAGAGAUCUUUAGAAAAAAUGAACAUUUUCUCCAACACUAAACAGAUAUCUAUUUUACAGUUAUGAGGACGGUGAAACCUUAUAGUUAUUCGUUUUGUAAAUGGAUGAUACUAUAUUUAGAAAGCAUGUCAGUCAUUUCAGGCCUUAUUCAUACAGUUUUGUAUGAGUUUGUAAUGAGGUGCGUACUGGCGGCAGAGAAGUCAGGCGCAGGAGAGGGAAAACGGAUUUACAACUGUGUCGAUAAAUCAACAUAAACCACCGUCAACAGAACAAUACAUGAAUGGGUCAAACAGAACCCGGUAAUAACCAGCAUACCAUACACAAGCACUACAAGAAACAACUACGGACAAGGACAUGGGGGGAACAGAGGGUUAAAUACACAACAUGGAAUUGAUGAAAUUGGAACCAGGUGUGAUGGAAGACAAGACUAAACCAAUAGAAGGUCGGCGACGUGGACCGCAGAACGCCGCCGGAACAAGAGGGACCAACUUCGGCGGAAGUCGUGACAGAGUCUCUCUUGAUGGAAACAUCGCCCCUGUGACCGUCUCAGAGGAACCAGUUAAAGGUCUCUCUUGAUGGAAACGUCGCCCCUGUGACCGUCUCAGAGGAACCAGUUAAAGGUCUCUCUUGAUGGAAACGUCGCCCCUGUGACCGUCUCAGAUGAACCAGUUAAAGGUCUCUCUUGAUGGAAACAUCGCCCCUGAGACCGUCUCAGAGGAACCAGUUAAAGGUCUCUCUUGAUGGAAACAUCGCCCCUGUGACCGUCUCAGAGGAACCAGUUUCCCUCAUGAUCGAUGUUGGACUUCGUCUUUCAAAAGAAUCAGUUGCUCAUUUCUUUACUCUUGUUGCUGAAAUGUAUUUCAUGAAUUGUUGUGUGUUUUGGGCCCAGGGUCCUUGGCUUAUUGAUGAGCUUUGAGGGCACUAUGGUGUUGAACUCUGAGUUGUAGUCAAUGAUUUAGUCCCAGGGUCCUUAGCUUAGUGAUGAGAUUUCAGGGCACUAUGGUGUUGAACGCUGAGCUGUAAUCAAUGAACAGCAUUCUCACAUAGGUGUUCCUUUUGUCCAGGUGUGAAAGGGCAGUGUGGAGUGCAAUAGAGAUUGCAUCAUCUGUGGAUCUGUUGGGGCGGUAUGCAAAUUGGAGUGGGUCUAGGGUUUCUGGUAUAAUGGUGUCGAUGUGAGCCAUGACCAGCCUUUCAAAGCACUUCAUGGCUACAGACGUGAGUGCUAUGAGUCGGUAGUCAUUUAGGUAGGUUACCUUAGUGUUCUUGGGCACAAGGACUAUGGUGGUCUGCUUGAAACAUGUUGGUAUGCGUCUCCUUCCUGAGCGGUAUGACGGCUACGUGGUCCCAUGGUGUUUAUACUUGCGUACUAUUGUUUGUACAGAUGAACGUGGUUCCUUCAGGCGUUUGGAAAUUGCUCCCAAGGACGAAUCAGACUUGUGGAGGUCUACAAUUUAUUUCUGACGUCUUGACUGAUUUCUUUUGAUUUUCCCAUGAUGUCAAGCAAAGAGGCACUGAGUUUGAAGGUAGGCCUUGAGAUAUAUCCACAGGUACACCUCCAAUUGACUCAAAUGAUGUCAAUUAGCCUAUCAAAAGCUUCUAACGACAUUACAUCAUUUUCUGGACUUUUCCAAGCUGUUUAAAGGCACAGUCAACUUAGUGUAUGUAAACUUCUGACCCACUGGAAUUGUGAUACAGUGAAUUAUAAGUGACAUAAUCUGUCUGUAACUAUAGUUUAUUAACAAGAAAUGUGUGGAGUGGUUGAAAAACGAGUUUUAAUGACUCCAACCUAAGUGUAUGUAAACUUCCGACUUCAACUGUAUCUGUCUGACUGAUCCGAAAGUAUGUUUCUUGCUAUGUUUUCUAUAUGUUCUGUUUGGACCUAUGUGAUGUGUGAGAAGUGCUAAGAUUUCCUCUUAUAGGACAAACGGGAAUCUGAAUCAGAUUUUUUUUCUCCAGUUUGUCUUUUUUUUGUUAUGACUCAAAUGCGUUGAUAUAGUGUCAUUAAAUCAACUAAUCAAAGUUUAA